rnacentral:sRNA from 1 species
AGUUGCUUCAGGCAGCUGAGCUAUUCAGACCAUGGAGAAUAUCCUCUGUUUUCUGAACAGCUAUACUGAGACAGGGCUGAGCCCUGACUCACAUUGCUUGGAUAUUUACCCCAACUUCAUCUGCUUGAGUGGGUUGGGGUUGUUUAUACUGUACUUGUUCUAUGUGGUAUUGACCCUGUAUUCGUCACCCACUGAAAAAAAUAAUGACAUCCAAAAGCAUCAGGGCAGAGCCAGGAGGAGAAGGAAAGGUGGGACAUUUAAAGGUAAUGUCAGCUGCUCUAUCUGAGCUUCAGGUGUGACCCUUUCUGUCUCUUUCAUGAGGACUCAGUCCCAUGAUUUCUUAGAAUGUCGGUUACUAGAUGCAGUCUUAGAAAACAGAGCCCUCAGAAGACAGGCUCAUGGGAAAGCAAUCAGACCUAAGACACUGCUCAGAGGCCCUGCUCUGCCCAUUUAUGGGCAGGACAAAGUGACAGACCUGAGCAAUGGGUGUUGCUCAAUUGGUGGCCAACUGAGAUAUCGAGGAAGGAGUACUGGUUGGCUUGGAGUCAGAGCUUCUGUCUCACAACUUUGCAUAAGUACUUUGACUU